UACGUAGGGUGCGAGCGUUGUCCGGAAUUAUUGGGCGUAAAGGGCUCGUAGGCGGUUUGUCGCGUCGGGAGUGAAAUCCACUGGCUUAACUGGUGGCUUGCUUUCGAUACGGGCAGACUGGAGGUAUGCAGGGGAGAACGGAAUUCCUGGUGUAGCGGUGAAAUGCGCAGAUAUCAGGAGGAACACCGGUGGCGAAGGCGGUUCUCUGGGCAUGUCCUGACGCUGAGGCGCGAAGGCCAGGGGAGCAAACGGG
rnacentral:rRNA from 1 species